rnacentral:lncRNA from 1 species
CGGAUGCUGCGCGGCUCCAUCACUCCCUGACGAGUCGUGACAACGGACGCCGCUCCAUUCUCCAUAACUGAUUUCACGUGACGAGCCAUGGUGACAGCCACGACUCCACCCUAUUACUCUUCAUGAUAAAUUCCUCUUGGCCCCAUGCGGCCCACGACUAGGCGGUUACAAACAGUCGCUAUCAGUCUAUCGCACCCCCUGCCUAUAAAAGGGAGACCCCAGAUACAUUAUUCUCUAAGCCCUAAUCUUUAUCCCAAAACUCUGCUAAAAUUUUCGUUCGAGUACUCCAUUCUUGUUGAGGCAGAGAACUGACUUGAGCGUCGGAGGGUCUUGCCGGAGCAACCCCACCUCCGGUUUAGACUUCUUUUGCAGGUCUCGGUGGUGACCGCGACUCUUCUAACUCCAGCUUCUCUGGCACAGGUGGAUUUUUGCACCAACAGGAUUAGCGCUAGAGGAAGGGGCUGUGUCUUCAUAGUACCCUUAUUCUUAAAGGAGCGCUCAACGGGACCACCUCCGGUCAUCUUUUCCGGCAUCCUCUCCUCCUUCCCCCACU